CGGCGGACGGGUGAGUAACACGUGGAUAACCUACCUAUAAGACUGGGAGUAACUUCGGGAAACCGGAGCUAAUACCGGAUAAUAUAUUGAACCGCAUGGUUCAAUAGUGAAAGACGGUUUUGCUGUCACUUAUAGAUGGAUCCGCGCCGCAUUAGCUAGUUGGUAAGGUAACGGCUUACCAAGGCAACGAUGCGUAGCCGACCUGAGAGGGUGAUCGGCCACACUGGAACUGAGACACGGUCCAGACUCCUACGGGAGGCAGCAGUC
rnacentral:rRNA from 1 species